ACUGUGAUAACUGCAAAGGUGAGGUCCAAAGUCCAAAAUCCUUUGAGAAAUCUGAGAAGGGAGAGAUUGUUUUCAUCUGGCAGAGGGAGGAGGGAGGAAGAACUUAGGCAAGACUUCACAGUGGAGGUGAUACCUAAAUUACACUUUGAAGGAAGGUAGCAACUUCAGUAAAGAGAGCGGGGAUUCCAUUCCAGGUAUGGGUGUUGGCAGCGCAUUUCUUUAAGUACUCUCCAAUCCAUCCUACACACCACUGCCCUUUGAUCGUGUGACUUUUCUACCCAAAAAUCUUUCAGUAGCUCCAUACUGCCUUUCAAAGAAACUAUAAAGUGCUCAUCCUGGCAUUCAAGGCGCCUCCAAAAUCUGGAUACAGUCUACUUCCUGUGGAUGGAAAGGAGGAAGAUACACAGCCUGACAAAACCUGGGCUCUCAACAGGAGAAGGUUCCUGCCUUCGCCUCCUACCUUCUGGAGCUAGACAGAGCAAAUCUAGCCUUUCUGCCAGAUGAUAGCCUUCCAAGGACUGAAAGACAACCACCAUGUCGCCUGCAUGGAAGAGUCUUCUCCAGGCUGAACAUCCCAGUUCUUUCAAGAAAUCCUU